CUCCUUCACCCGGGCGGUACC
rnacentral:miRNA from 1 species